CGUGCAGGCGGUUCGGUAAGUUGGAUGUGAAAGCUCCCGGCUCAACUGGGAGAUGUCGUUCAAUACUGCCGGGCUAGAGGACGGUAGAGGGAGGUGGAAUUCCCGGUGUAGUGGUGAAAUGCGUAGAUAUCGGGAGGAACACCAGUGGCGAAGGCGGCCUCCUGGGCCGUUCCUGACGCUAAGACGCGAAAGCUAGGGUAGCGAACG
rnacentral:rRNA from 1 species